UUGAAGUAGGGAGGGAGCGGUGGAGAGAAAGAUGAGGCACCGGAGACCGGCGGAGUCACUCAGCUCUCCUCGCUCCAGAAGUGCGCCUUCUGCCAAUCCGAGGGCCGCAUGGGGGUGAUGGACGCAAGCGUGUGCCCAAUGAGGAAAAGAAGGUGCCGCUCCGAGCCACAGGGGAAGGAGUGGGCGGGCCAAGGUCCUCCCCUCCCUCCGGCACCCGGGUCCUCCCUCCCGCCCUGUUCAGGUCUGUAUGUGAACUGAGACUCUGCUGAUUCCAUCUGGUUAAGACUUGGUUGGACUCAGCUGAGUUUUGCCCCAGGACACAGGUUAAAUUCAGGUCUUUAUCACAUGUCUCUGGCAAUGACAGGAGCUCAAGAGGUGAAGUCAAGUCACUCAAACACAUUUAACACUUCUGCUGCCAUCACAUCUCCUAAUAUUCCAUUGGCCAAAUAAGUCACAUGGCCAAGUCCACCAAAGUAGUGGAAGGUGCUGCAAAACCACAUGGCAAAGAGCAUGGGUAUAUAAUUCUAUAACCAGGAGGAUGUGAAGGAUUGGGAAAAAUAAUCCAACCUAACAGAAAAGUUUUGUUUCAUAGAUAAUGUUGGAAAAAUUGGUUCACCAUAGAGGAAAAUAAAGUUGCAUCCAUAUUUCA
rnacentral:lncRNA from 1 species